AGUAGAAUGGCUGAGAGUAAGUAAAAGAUUGUAAAUCUUUUUAGGGGUUGUUCCCUUCUACUA
rnacentral:tRNA from 1 species